rnacentral:rRNA from 1 species
GACGAACGCUGGCGGCGUGCCUAAUACAUGCAAGUCGAACGCAGUGGGGACGGGUGAGUAACACGUGGGUAACCUCCCAUGAGAGGGGAUAACACUGGGAAGCAGGUGCUAACGCGAACCUGAUGGAUGGACCCGCGGUGCAUUAGCUAGUUGGUGAGGGAACGGCUUAGCAAGGCCACGAUGCAUAGCCGACCUGAGAGGGUGAUCGGCCACACUGGGACUGAGACACGGCCCAGACUCCUACGGGAGGCAGCAGUGGGGAAUCUUCGGCAAUGGGCGAAAGCCGGACCGAGCAACGCCGCGUGAGUGAAGAAGGUUUUCGGAUCGUAAAACUCUGUUGUUAGGGAGGCGGUACCUAACCAGAAAGCCACGGCUAACUACGUGCCAGCCGCCGCGGUAAUUC